rnacentral:lncRNA from 1 species
GUGGGUGUGAGCGUGGACGCCUCUUGGGUCCAGUGCGGUUGCGGGGUUGGUGCCCUACAGCCACUGCUGUGCUUCCCUCCUGGCGUCUGUACUCUAAUCUAAUGCACGAGGGCAGUCCUACUGCUCAUUAAUCACGUUUAGUGUUCUCACUCCUAACCCAAAAUCGGGCUCCUCCUUGGAGCAGCAUACUUGGUGCCAGGCUUGGGUGGACG